rnacentral:rRNA from 1 species
AGAAUCAACGCUGGCGGCGUGCCUAACACAUGCAAGUCGAACGUGAUCCAGGCUUCGGCCUGGUGAAAGUGGCAGACGGGUGAGUAACGCGUGGGAACCUGCCCUGUGGUAGGGAAUAACCGUGGGAAACUGCGGCUAAUACCCUAUGAGUCCUUCGGGAGAAAGAUUUAUCGCCGGAGGAUUGGCCCGCGUUCGAUUAGCUAGUUGGUGAGGUAACGGCUCACCAAGGCGAUGAUCGAUAGCUGGUCUGAGAGGAUGAUCAGCCACAUUGGGACUGAGACACGGCCCAAACUCCUACGGGAGGCAGCAGUGGGGAAUAUUGGACAAUGGGCGCAAGCCUGAUCCAGCCAUGCCGCGUGAGUGAUGACGGCCUUAGGGUUGUAAAGCUCUUUCGCUCGGGACGAUAAUGACGGUACCGAGAUAAGAAGCCCCGGCUAACUUCGUGCCAGCAGCCGC